ensembl:lncRNA
CCAACUUCCUGGCCGUCCCUGGCCAACACAUGGCCUGCUGUGUUCAGUUUCCUGGAGAGCCUCCUGCCCAAGCGUCCCUCAAGGGAGAGAUGGAAUGCUGCCCAGGUUCCCCAGCAGUGGGGUCCUGCCAGCCUUUCUCAGGGCUGCCCUCCAGAUCCUGCCUCUUGCCGCAUCUUGGAUGGAUUUUCCUGGCUGGGGCCCAUCUCUGCACCUGGGACCUCCAUUAUCUCUGCCCAGCAUUUCCAAACCACUCCAAAUUUCUCCAGUGGCAGUCCCCACCCUGCUCCCACAGACACUGACCGGGGCCUCUAGGAGUCCUUUCGGGAGCGUGACGAGGUUCCUUCCUGGAAUCCAUCUGGAGUUCUGCUUCAUUCCUCGACGUUUUCUAAGCACUCGCCCCACCCCACCCUGGUUGGUAGCGUUUGCCAAUUUUUGUGGUGUAAAUACUCCUAGUGUGGCUGAUUUCACGCUGCUGACUUGAUGUCAGUGAAUGCGGAGUCGAGAAGAAAUGCACACAAGGAGCUUGUGAUGAGAGCCCGCUCCAGCUCACCACGGUACAAUUACGUGUCCAUCAUUAGACACACAGUCAGACACACACAGAUGGCAUCACGUGACACCCACACCUUGCCUCUUACAUUGUACUUAACCAACUUCUCAGUAAGAUGAAGCCAAGCACGACCAUGGAACGGAUGUAUCAACCCAUCUGCUCCUCAUGUAAGACUAUAGAUUAGGAGAGUGUCCUCCAGUCGCUGAGAAGUGUAUGGCAGCAAACUGUCAAGAGCCAUCAGUAAACCCCGUGAUGAUUGAUCAGAUUUCCCGGCCAGAGAGAAUUCAGGAAUCCACAAAGCCUGGAGAGAGGAGCCCAGUGAGAGAUGUCAUGUGCAGGCAUGUGGCUGUGAGCUUCGUCGGUCCUCUUCAGAAGUCGCGGACACCCCAGCCCCGACAUCCGCCAAAUUAUUCGCCUUGGUGGCUGCCCAGGCCUCCGUGAGAACAGUGGCAAGGCCUAAGUUCCGUCUCCGGUUCCUCGUCCUUCAGAGGAGGCUGUUUGGCAACGCUUCUCUCAACUAGCCCCUGUAUUGAAGAGGCCGAGCUGUGUGCCCAUCUCAGGUGGGCCCUGGGGUUCUGGAAGCCCUGGUUGUCAGAAGAUAUCCAGGCUGUUGGGGUAGGUGAGGUGCACCCCAGGAGAACCUCUGGAGCUGGUCCCUCCCUCCCUGGUAGGUCAAGCUGCCAGAAGCUCACAGAAGUCUGAGGGUGACUGCAGAAAUGACCUUGAGACACUGCACCAGGAGCUCCCCUUCCACGCUCCCGGACCCUCAUGCGCCUCCUGAAGGAGCCGCGUGGACUUCUUGGGGCCAGCCACUGGCAAGGAGCUUUGCCUGGGAGUGGAGACAACGUUGGCUCCAGAUGUUAGAUGGCUAGGCCUCCUCAAGGCCAGAGCACUUCUGCCACGGGGUUGGUGGGGGAGACAACAGCGCUGUGCUAACAGGAGCCUCCCCCCUCCCCCCCGGACUUGGGUCCAUGCCCUCCCCGGGGGACUGGGCAGGAGGGAGGCAGCUGAGACCUGAGCUGUUGCAGGUGCGAAGUACUCAGCCAAGCGAGCCCAUUUGUCAAAGAAGUUGGACUUAAAAGGAAGGAUACUGACAGGAGAGGGGAUUAAAAGGCAUGGAAGGAUCCAGAAAGAGAGAUUUUCAAGAAAAGAAACACCUGUGUAGAUGUGUGUGUGUGUGCACAUAGGCACACACAGAGGCCCCAGGGAGGGGGCUGUGGAGGGGAGAGAAGCUGGAGAGAGGCGGGUGGCUGUGGGGGAGGCUGCAGGGCCCAGAACACGGCACGGGCAGAAGAGCAGUCUCAGGCGGGACGAAAGACAGUUCUUCUCUUUCCAGAUCUGGACACUGGGUGGGAAAGACAUGGACACGGGUCUGGGAGGACACCCGCCGGCCCCACGUGGCCGCAGUAUGGGAGUGGACGACGGGAGGGUCCAGGGCCUUCACUCUGUCUGCAUCACCUGAGCUGUUUUCCAAUAACGACGUAUUCCUACACUACUUGAGAAAUUGAAAAUAAACACAUUAGGAAGCUGCCGGGUGGCAGAACCACACCACUCGUCUGUCAGUAGCCAUGCUGAGGCGGUGGCUCACACCAAAGAACUAGACGGACUCACAACUAAGAUAUACAACUGUGCACUGGGGGGCUUGGGGGGAAAAAAAAAAGAGGAAGCUUGGCAACAGAUGUUAGCUCAGGGCGAAUCCUUCCCUGCAAAAAACAAAUAAAUAAACACACUAGACCCCAUGAGCAGCACAGACAGUAGGCACUAGAGUUGUCCAGAGACGGGUCAGGCAGGUGUAGGACUCACCGAAGGGGUGGGCUGGGGUGCAAUUUGACCAGGUGAUGAGGGUACCUAGGGGGAAGAGCUGAGGGGGUGAAGGGAAGGCCUGGCAGGUCUUGAAGGUGGCAGGACCCCCAUGGCCAGAGUGAGGCCCCUGUUGGAGAGGAACUGGCAGCUGAGGAGAUGCCGACCAGCUGCUUCAGGGCCUCUGGGAAGCUUGUUUCAAAGCUCGGACUCCACCCCCACCCCCACGCCACACACACAGAUUCUGAGUCAGGAGGCCUGCCCCAGGCUCUGGAAUUCCCAUUUGUUUAAGUUUCCCCAAUGAUUCUGAUGGGUCACCAGGAUUCUGCUGGGGAUGGGGGGAUUGCCAUGUGAGCAGGGCUCCAGGCCUCACACCCCCUCCAACCAGGGCUGCUCAGCACUUAUGUUUUGCAUGGGGGCAGCCAAAAUCCUGCAUCUAUGGCUAAAAAUAAAGUGUGAACACCUCCAGGGCAGAAUGGAAGUGGCUAUGUCACUUUGAAGGAAACUGGGUUGUACUCAGCACGACCAUAGUUCUGACUGGCCACGCAACUGUUGAGACAGCGUGGGCCCCAGGGGAGAAGGGCAGGAGGAGUGGGACGAGAGUGGAAAAGAAAUGGCACGGCCAAGAGACAUUUUAGAAGAAUCAGAGGAAAUGGGGAUGCACAAAGGGUGAUGAGAAAGAUAAGCCCUCGACCCAGAGGGGGAGUUGUCACCAGAGGGUCCUGGGGCAGCCGUAUUUCAGGGAAGGUUCCGAGUUAGGGUAUGACGGGAAAUGGCAGGUGGAACCCUCGGCCAGGGUAAAUUUGCUUUCACGGCCACCUUGAGGAUGCGGCUGUCCUGCAGGAGAGAGGAUGGCUGGGGCGCCCUGGGCCACACUAGGGAGCUCCAGGAGGACAGCAGGAGGAGAGGACUCAGGGAACUCACAGGGGAACGCUCAGGUGAUGUGGCAAAUUUCCCAUAAAAGAGUAUUCUCCCGGUCACCUCUCCUUUCCGAGAGACCGUCUCCCUGGGAAGGCCUGGGACAGCCCAGCGCCAUGGUGACAGCAAGGUGGGGGAUGGGGGAGGCAGAGCCAGUGAGGCCCUGUUGCAAUCUGCUGACCCUAUCCCCCUACAAAGAACUUCUCACCACAGACAAUCUGGCCCCAGCAUCACGGCUCCAUUACCUGGAACCCGACAUCCGAGCUACUUCCCAAGGGCCUGGCUCCUGCUCCUCUGACAGCUUCUCUCCACACGAUGUCCGCCCGUCUCCUGGCCCCACUCAAUCCGAGGUCCCUACACCUCAGAGCAGAAGACAGAGCGGGAGGCCCUUUCCAUGGGUGACAGGACCCAGGAGGGGCUGAGUCAACCCUCAGACGCACCCCAGCUCAGACUAUUACUUAUCAACUGCAUUUUUUAUUAAGGUACCAAAACACAAGAUAACGUUCUGGCACAGUGUGUUCAGAAUUUAAAUAAAUAUAACAUAAGACAGGCCCAGGAGAAUUGGGUAUACAAUCAAGAAAGAGGAUGCGGCCAGCCUGGUGGUGCAGCGGUUUUGUGCACGCUUUCUGCUUAGGUGGCCCAGGGUUCGCCGGUUCGGAUCCUGGGUACGGAUGUGGCACCGCUUGUCAAGCCAUGCUGUGCAGUAAUCCCACAUAUAAAGUAGAGGAAGAUGGGCACGGAUGUUAGCUCAGGGCCAGUCUUCCUCAGCAAAAAAAGAGGAGGAUUGGCAGCACUUAGCUCAGGACUAAGCUUCCUCAAAACAAAAAAAAAGAUAGAGGAAAAAAUUAUAAAUGCAUUUUUUUCUUUCUGUUUUAGCAACAGUGCUGCCACAAGCAUUUUUGUAGCUAUACAUUUUGGACACCUUCAAGAUUCCUUCCAGAUCACUUCCAGAGGUGGAAUAGAUAGGUCAUAGGGUACUGGGAAUUUUAAGGCUUAAUUUUCCUCCAAAAAAGGCUUUUCCAGUUAUUGUGCAUUCCUAGAAGUAAUUCGCAAGAAGGCCUGUGCCCAGCAGUGGGUAUUCAUUUGCUGGUCUGUUAGGUAAUAAGGUGAAAUGUUAUCUCAAAUGGUUUUAUUUUUGCUUUGCUUUGAGUAUUAAGGAGGUUGAGGAUUUUCUUCUCUUAUUAACCAUUUGGUCAUUAUUUUGAUUAAUCUACCUGCUGACAUCCUCCAUCUCUCUCUUUGGUGCCCUAUACUUUACAAGCUCUUUGUACAUUAAGGAUAUUUGCCUCUGUUGCCA